rnacentral:rRNA from 1 species
UACGUAGGGGGCAAGCGUUGUCCGGAUUUAUUGGGCGUAAAGAGCGUGUAGGCGGCCAGGUAGGUCAGCUGUGAAAACUCGAGGCUCAACCUCGAGACGCCGGUUGAAACCAUCUGGCUAGAGUCCGGAAGAGGAGAGUGGAAUUCCUGGUGUAGCGGUGAAAUGCGCAGAUAUCAGGAAGAACACCCGUGGCUAAGGCGGCUCUCCAGUACGGUACUGACGCUGAGACGCGAAAGCGUGGGGAGCGAACAGG